GCCUUGACCGUCUGAACAACGGUGCACGGCCGUUCUUGAUGGGUAGAGUGAUUUUCUUCUGGUUGAUUCCAAUACGGUGUUUGACUUU
rnacentral:rRNA from 16 species